rnacentral:misc_RNA from 2 species
UGUAGGGGUGCAUGUAGGCACGGUCCUUGUGAUGCGGUACGUGAUGGUGUGUGAGUGGUAUUUGGUUUGUGUGGUUGGCGGGCUCUUUGCUUGUGCAUUGGACCGUUCACCAACAUACCUUUUCAUUGUAUGCUGCAAGUGCACCAUUUUGCCUUGGGCGACGUGUGGUCCCUAUGUUGGAUUCCGAUUAACGGUAUUGUUGUUGUCCCUUUAAAGAGUGAUAUUCGCUCCACGUCCGUAAAAGGAGGUCGAGCGGACCAUGAAACUUGACUCGUUAUCCUCCUGUUUUGUGAAAACAAGCAUGAUAGGGUUGGAUUAUGAUCUCAAGUUGGGCCCUAGGAUACAGAAAGUUGUGUGGGAGUUGAUGUAAAAACGUCGCAAACCCAAAGCGUUGGUACGCUAAUGAUGGAUGACAUUCGAGUGUGUUGUGAUUCUUUCAUUCUAGAAAGGUUCAUGCUCGCCGAUGUCGACCAAGGAGUGCUACCUGGUUGAUCCUG